rnacentral:lncRNA from 1 species
AAGCUCUUUGCAAAGCAUAAGGCUUAGUUAUCCCAAAGCUCUUGGCAAAGCAUAAGGCCUAGUUAUCUAUCCCAAAAUACCCAUCACGUUCAUAACAUCUGGUAUCACGAGUCUGUCGAUCCAUCCACAGCUGCUGCCAAUCCUCCAUAUCCAAAAAAAAAUCAAUCCAGAUCGCCGGCCGAUCCAUCUUCCACGGCCAUCCACCACCACAGCUCCCAGCCGCCGCGCCUCCAUCUCCAUCAGCCGCGCCAACAGCAACUAUCCCGUCGAUCCCCUUCCUUUCCAAAAAAAAAAGAGAUAAGCCGAUCCUGGCAGCCAGCAGCAGCGUCACCUCAACCCUAAACAUGCCGCCGCCGCUGCCCCACUACGCGCUGCCACCACCACAGCCCGAUCCCCACCACCAUCUCGCGCAGCCACAACCCCGUUUCCAGCCGCUGAGCCAACUCAUCCAGCAGGCGCGACCUCGACCCGUCGACGCCCGUACAUGAUGGAGUUUCCGCAGUUUGAUGGAACCUCUGAUCUGG